GAUGAACGCUGGCGGCGUGCCUAAUACAUGCAAGUCGAGCGAACAGACGAGGAGCUUGCUCCUCUGACGUUAGCGGCGGACGGGUGAGUAACACGUGGAUAACCUACCUAUAAGACUGGGAUAACUUCGGGAAACCGGAGCUAAUACCGGAUAAUAUAUUGAACCGCAUGGUUCAAUAGUGAAAGACGGUUUUGCUGUCAUUUAUAGAUGGAUCCGGGCCGCUUUAGCUAGUGGGGAAGGUAACGGCUUACCAAGGCACCGAUGAGUACCCGCCCUGAGGGGGGGACCGGCCACACGGGAACGGAGACACGGUCCAGACUCCUAGGGAAGGAGCAAGUGGGGAAUCUUGGGAAAGGGGGGAAAGCCGAACGGAGCACCGCCGCGUGAGUGAUGAAGGUCUUGGAUUCGUAAAACUCUGUGAAUGGGGAAGAACAAAUGUGGAAUUGAAUAUGCACGUCGUGACGGUAGCUAAUCAGAAAGCCACGGCUAACUACGUG
rnacentral:rRNA from 1 species